rnacentral:SRP_RNA from 1 species
GCCAGGUGUGGUGGCACGCACCUGUAAUCCCAGCUACUCGGGAGGCUGAGGCAGGAGAAUCACUUGAACCCGGGAGGUGGAGGUUGCAGUGAGCUGAGAUCAUGCCACUGCACUCAGCCUGGGUGUGCCACUGCACUCCAGCCUGGGUAACAGAGUGAGACGCUGCCUCUG